CCUACGGGGGACAGCAGUAGGGAAUCUUCCACAAUGGGCGAAAGCCUGAUGGAGCAACGCCGCGUGGGUGAAGAAGGUCUUCGGAUCGUAAAACCCUGUUGUUAGAGAAGAAAGUGCGUGAGAGUAACUGUUCACGUUUCGACGGUAUCUAACCAGAAAGCCCCGGCUAACUACGUGCCAGCAGCCGCGGUAAUACGUAGGUGGCAAGCGUUAUCCGGAUUUAUUGGGCGUAAAGGGAACGCAGGCGGUCUUUUAAGUCUGAUGUGAAAGCCUUCGGCUUAACCGGAGUAGUGCAUUGGAAACUGGGAGACUGGAGUGCAGAAGAGGAGAGUGGAACUCCAUGUGUAGCGGUGAAAUGCGUAGAUAUAUGGAAGAACACCAGUGGCGAAAGCGGCUCUCUGGUCUGUAACUGACGCUGAGGUUCGAAAGCGUGGGUAGCAAACAGGAUUAGAUACCCUUGUAGUC
rnacentral:rRNA from 1 species